CCGCUGUCUAUGGUAGUUUUGGAUAUAAAAUUGUCGGUCGUCAAAUUUGUCCAGGGACUGAAUUUCUGAUUGUCAAUGGUUAAUUAGCACUACAAUGUCGAAUAAAUCAGCUGAUGAAGGAAAAUCUGGGCAUAAGCAAAAUAAUGAAAUCUGUGAAUUAGAUACACAACUACCAUCAGGAAUUGAGAAAACAGAUGUGAAAGAAGUACAAAUAAAUGAUGAAUCAGAAAAUUUACCUGUUGAAAAUGAAGAGG